UACGAAGGGGGCUAGCGUUGCUCGGAAUCACUGGGCGUAAAGGGUGCGUAGGCGGGUCUUUAAGUCAGGGGUGAAAUCCUGGAGCUCAACUCCAGAACUGCCUUUGAUACUGAAGAUCUUGAGUCCGGGAGAGGUGAGUGGAACUGCGAGUGUAGAGGUGAAAUUCGUAGAUAUUCGCAAGAACACCAGUGGCGAAGGCGGCGUUCUGGACUGCUACUGACACUGAGGAACGAAAGCCAGGGGAGCAAACGGG
rnacentral:rRNA from 1 species